AUGCGAUUUCCCACCAUGAUAAACGUUGUAGCCGUAUGCCUCGUCCUCUCCACCCUGGCCGCCGCCGGCGUCUGGUCGCCAGCGCCUCCGCCGCCGGCCCAGCAGCACGGUGAGCAUGUCCUCCGGGAGGGCCGCCGCGUCGUCAUCGUCGAGUACGAGCGCGAGCUCCCGCUCACCCCGGGCCAGGGCUCCGCCAAAGAGACGCACGUCUUGCCCCCUCACGCUCUCGACGGCGUCGAGGCGAAAGAAACGGUGUCGGAGGAGGCCAGGGGAGCCGUCUCCAACGCGGCGGACAAGGUGGCUGGCGCGGCGGAGGAUGGCAAGGAGAAGUUGUCCAAUGCCAAGGAGAGCGCCACGGGCAAGGUGUUCGGCGCGGUGAAGCGCUGCAAGGACAGGCUCUGCGGCGCCGCCAAGGGGUUGGAGGAGGGCGCGAGAGUCGGGGUCUCCCGCGUCAAAGAUGGCGCCGAGGACACGGUGACAGCUGCCGGGGAGACGCUCUCUGGUGCCAAGGACAAAGCGGAGGGCAAGGUGUUCGACGCUGCAUCAGAGGCGAAGGGCGCUGCGAUGAGUGCCAAGGACAAGGUCUCCGAAGCAGCCGGUGGAGCCAAGGAGAAGGCAGCACACAUCAAGGAUGGAGCGGCUGGAACCGUGAGGAGUGCCAAGGACAAGGUCUCCGAAGCAGCCGGUGGAGCCAAGGAGAAGGCAGCACACGUGAAGGACAAAGCAGCUGAAACAGUGACGAAUGCCAAGGGCAAGGUUUCAGAAGCAGCCGGUGAAGCCAAGGAGAAAGCAUCGCACGUGAAGGACCGAGCAGCUGAGACAGUGACCAGUGCCAAGGGCAAGGUCUCUGAAGCUGCAGGGAACGCCAAAGACAAGGUCUCUGACAUCGCAGAACGAGCAGAGGAUUACGCCGGGGAUGCUGCAGGGAACGCGGCCGAGAAGGUGGCGCGAGCCGAGGAGGUCGCGAAGGCGAAGGCCGGGGAGGUGACCAAGAACCUGACCGACAUCGCGAGGCGGGCCCGGGAGGUGGCGUCCGAUGCAGCCGGAUACCUGCUCGGCGCGCCCAUGGAGGCCGCGCGCACCGCGACGGCGGUGAUGCAUCUGCUCGGGUUCGCCACGGCCUACGGCGCGUGCGUGUGGGUGACGUUCGUGUCGAGCCACGUCCUCGCUGCGUCGCUGCCCCGGCAGCAGCUCGGCGUGGUGCAGAGCAAGCUGUACCCGGUGUACUUCCGCGCCAUGGCCUACUGCGUCGGCCUGGCCCUGGCGGCGCACCUGCUCGGCCGCGAGAGGAGCUCCUUCGCGGCGCGCGCCCAGACCUUCAACUUGCUCAGCGCGCUGGGACUGGUCCUCGCCAACAUGCUGCUUCUCGAGCCAAAAGCCACCAAGGUGAUGUUCGAAAGGAUGAAAGUGGAGAAGGAAGAAGGCAGAGGAAGGGACAUGUCCGACAUCAUCGACCCGCCGGCCGUCACGGUGGCCACGGCCGCCACGACCACCACAGCCGCCCCCACGGCAGCAGGAGCCCGCAGCCCGGUGGACGGCACGACGGGAACCGUCAGGGCGGCGAAGACCACGACGACGACGACCUCGGUGACGGCGCCCGACGCGGAGAUGGCCAAGAGCAAGGUGGUGAGGCUGAACAAGCGGCUGAAGCAGCUCAACGGCUACUCGUCCCUGUGCAACGUGCUGUCCCUGAUGGCCCUGACGUGGCACCUCGUUCACCUGGCUCGCCGCCUGCAGAUGAGCACCGCCUGCUAG
rnacentral:rRNA from 1 species